UAUGCCAAAUGAUUUCAAAUACUUGAAG
rnacentral:piRNA from 1 species